GACGUGGUGGAGCAGUGGUUACUUUGCUCGACUGACAAUCGGGAGACCUGGGUUGGAUUCCUGAGCCCCAGUCA